ACAAUAGCUGCAGAGUGCAACCAGUUCAGCACCUGCCAUAUCCCCUGGACAGUGUUCCAGGUCAGAAAGCAUUUUAGGGAGGGGCCAACUGAAGCUGGAACUCAGUCAGCCUCAGAGCUCCCCAGGUUAAAUUCCCAAGGUGACUGGGUAUGGGACAACCACGGGAGACAUGCAUGGUCAACGAGCUGUGGCCAGGCCAUUAAUGGACAGCCAGAGUGUUAUGAACUAAAUAACUCAGGCGCCAUCCCUGUGACCAGAGGUCAGGUUCAGUCUGAGCUUUCAUGGUGAUCCUCAGACCCAUCUACCAUCACUCAACCUAACCAGCCUGUGGAGUUCAUCCCACCUCUCACCCUAUACUUGGGUGAACCUAAAUUAGCUCCAAAUCUCAACCAUCUUCCUGGAGAAGGAAGCUCUACACCUUGUCUCUGACUUGGAAACUUUGGUCUGUCACCUACUUUGUUGACCAGAAGGUCCUGUAAGAAUAGUGAAGCUUCUAGGAUUCAUCCCACCCAAUAUGGACCAGGACUCAGCUCCUGCAUAGGGUCUGAUCAAGGGACACAAUUUUGAGUCUAGAGGCCGGCUAUCCAC